GUCCGGAUGACGAGCCUCAAAUAAGACGAAACGCAUGUCCUGGAU
rfam:Schistosoma haematobium scaffold1481_2, whole genome shotgun sequence.